AUGGUACUCCCUCCGUCCGCAAAUACUUGUCGAAGAGAUGGAUGUAUCUAGACAUAUUUUAGUUCUAGAUACAUCCAUUUUAUCCAUUUUUUACGACAAGUAUUUCUGGACGGAGGGAGUACUCU
rnacentral:pre_miRNA from 1 species